GUAUCUUAUCACAGAGUAAUCAGAGAAGCCUGCUGAUUUAACCAGUUCACUUUAACCUGUUUUAACCUGCACCGGCAACGACCCUAACACAAAAGUCAGGAGACUAGAUCUUUAGCAGUAACAUGCAGUCCAUAUAAACGCUCAAAGUGAAAUUUCUUCUAGACAAGUCAUUUAUUUCUGUGAAACACACAGAAUUUUUUUUUCAACGAGGUUAUUCCAUUUGUCAUUUUUUUUUAAUGAAGGGUUAACAUGACAUAACGUGUUCCCUCACGCUCCCUUUUGACACAGGCAGUCCUCGUCACACGCAUAUGAAGUAGCCCUGUUCAUCUGUCUAUGACGUGUGUAUGGAAGUCCUGUCCUGUCAGUCUUAUAAUCAGUCGCUCAGUCUUAUAAUCAAUCGCCCAAACAGCCCAGGGGCUAAAAGUCAAAGGACUGACUGCCGGAGAGACCUGAUGUAACACCAGUGUAAUUCUCCCCUUUGAAACUAACUUCAAACUCCAGUUUGUGAACAAAGUCCUGUCUGUCUUCUGAAUAGGAAUCUGAAUAGUCCGACCACUGACCAAACUCCAUUUGUUAACCACUGCCUAUUUGUACCUUCCACUGAAUGACUCUUUUUCAUUCCACACGUCCGAUCCCAAUGGAAAGAGCUAGUGAGGAUAAAAAAACAAAUAACUGGAGGUAUCAGCCGGGGGGAAACCAAGAGUCAAUGAUAUUUGGAAUAUACUCUAUAUGGGAACAUAUUAUUUUUAGGAGAGCUUCAAGCGCAGGGAAAAUUGAUGGGAUUGUGAAGACGAGGAUCCCGAGGCACAGCCUGGCUCCUCUACCAUGGAAGUGAAUGGAACUGGGCUAGACUCGCGUGCGAAAAGGAAAAGAGUUCCAGCCGAGUCUCCCCAUAGCUCCAGCAGAGGCAAGGCUACACCGAACAGUGCAGUUGCAGCAUGUAUGGAAGACAGAAAAGGACAUUGAUGUGGUUCCCAAACAAUUGAGGUUCUUUCAGCCAGGCAGCCUGGGGUGCAGCUGAACCCUAGCAUCACUUAUGGACUUAUGCAAGCUGUUCUUCAGUGAACAGACCAUGAGGGUCCUGUGUGAAAACGCCAACAAACAAGCAGCGAUAAACAUAGCGAGAGGGAGAAAAUAUGCCUGGACGGACUGUCACGUUCUGACCUUAGUUCCUUUAUUAUGUCUUUGUGUUAGUUUGGUCAGGGCGUGAGUUGGGGUGGGUAGUCUCUGUUAUUUUUUCUAUGUAGUAUGUACAGUGCCUUGCGAAAG